GACGAACGCUGGCGGCGUGCCUAAUACAUGCAAGUUGAGCGCUGAAGGUUGGUACUUGUACCAACUGGGUGAGCAGCGAACGGGUGAGUAACGCGUGGGGAAUCUGCCUUUGAGCGGGGGACAACAUUGGGAAACGAAUGCUAAUACCGCAUAAAAUCUUUAAACACAAGGUUUAAGUUUGAAAGAUGCAAUUGCAUCACUCAAAGAUGAUCCCGCGUUGUUUUAGCUAGUUGGUGAGGUAAAGGCUCACCAAGGCGAUGAUACAUAGCCGACCUUAGAGGGUGAUCGCCACAUGUGGACCGGGAACACGCCCAAGCCUCCAAGGGAGGCAACAGGAGGGGAACCUUGGCAAUGGAGGAAAGGCUGAACGAGCCACGCCGGGGUGAGGAAGAAGGUUUUCCGAUCGUAAAAAUCCGUUUGUAGGGAAGAAAGUUGGUGAGAGUGGAAAGCUCAUCAAGUGACGGUACCUACUCAGAAAGGGACGGCUAACUACGUG
rnacentral:rRNA from 1 species